UUUUUUUUUUGGCUUUUUAGGACUUUUUAGGACUUUUAGGACUUUUUAGGACUUGAGGUAUAUGGAGGUUCCCAGGCUAGGGGUCAAAUAGGAGCUGUAGCUGUCCUACGCCUACGCCCACAGCCACUGGGGAUCCAAGCUGCACUGCGACCUACACCACAGCCCACAGCAGCACUGAGUCCUUAACCCACUGAGGGAGACCAGGGAUUGAAAGUGGGUGCCCAUGGAUACUAGUCAGGUUCAUUACCACUGAGCCACAACGGGACUUCGGGUUUUGUAAUUUCUUCUCCUUCUCCUGCUCCAAGGAAGCAGUAAUAUGGUGUUGAACAUGGUCAGAUCAGAUAAUCAGUGUUGAUAUCAAGAUGCAGAGGGGGAGGCUGGAGGACUGGGCCGGCCUCUGCUCUCCAGGUAUUGGGGCUGUGUUGGAGACACAAGGUGAAGGAUUUCAGCUGGCCCUGCUGCACAGACCGUGUGCCUCCAAUAGGCUGGCCAUUCCAACUGGGCAAACACAGAGUCUGGCUGACACUUUCCCCCUUUUUUUUUUAAGGCCACACUCGUGGCCUAUGGAAGUUCCCAGACUAGAGGCUGGAUCAGAAUAGCCGCCGACCUGUGCCACAGCCACAGCCACUGCCACUGCCGUGCAGGAUCUGAGCCAUGUCUGUGACCUACACCACAGCUCAUGGCAAUGCUGAAUCCUUAACCCACCCACUGAACAAGGCCAGGAAUCAAACCCGCAUCCUCAUGGCUAUCAGUCAAGUUCAUAACUGGCACGGAGCCACAAUGGGAACUCCUGGCUGACACUUUCUGGUAAGUUGGCAGCGUGGCUAUUUCAGUCAUCUGUAAGAUGCAGAUAAGACUCAUCCCCCCCUUCUUAGAGUUGUGAUGGGAGUUAAGCGAGUGGCUCUAUGUGAAAUGCUUGGGACAGGGAUAGGACUCAGUAUGUGGGUGGCUAGUAUGAGAGAGGUUAUUUGUGUCACUGGGAUCACAGGUUCAUCCUCCCUGUGAAGCUGGUUGGCCCGCUGGCACACAGUCACGUUCCUGGUUCACAGAAGUGGGACCUGUGUUUUCUUGUGUCACGGGUGCCGGAAGGCUUGCAGGAUUUCUCAGUCUCUGUACCAUGGAUAUUUCCAAUCAGGUCGUUCUUUGGUGGGGCAGGGGAACAGUCUUUUAAACUGUAGCAUUUGUGCCCUCUACCCAUCAGAGGCCAGCAGCACUCCCUUCCCUACAGGGGUGACAGCCCAAAAUACCUCCAGGCAUUGUCAAAUGUCCCUGAAGGGCAAAACUGUGCCAGAUGAGAAGCAGACAGGUAAAUGCCUAGUCGUGGGCUACACCCCUAGGCUUCUGCCCCGCUGCUAUCAAAGAAUCUCUGCCUGAGCUUAAGUCUCUGGGACGCUAGGUGGGUUCUCUCAGGUCCUCAUGAAUGAGUGGCUGCAGCUGCUGUAAGAAUCUGCCAUCUGCCUUGUGGGUGGGCCGUUCUGGCCAGUCGAUGACAUCAGUUGCUGAUGCCUGGGUGGGUCCUGCCAACCCCGAGGGUGUACCCAGCACCCAUGUUCACACCGGGUGUAUCUGCUGUUGCUUCCCAAAUGGGUCGUGAGUCCUCCCAUGGCCCAGCCUGCUGGGCGAUGACUGUCCACUGCCACCAGCCUCAGGGCCCCACAGGCCUGGCUGACUAUGUCCUCUGAGGCUGUCGAUGCAGCAAAGCCGGGUGAUACCCUGGCUGAGGCGAGGGGAACAGCCCCCUCCUUGUUUGUGCUCAUGUGCCUGUUGACGGACACCAAAGCCAUCCAACUCUCUUUCUGGAGGUGGCACAGAGCUUCACUGAAAACAGGUUCUUACAGAGCCUUGGGGAGUCUGGCCCGAAGUAUAUGUCCCAGGGCCCUUGCAUCUGCUGAGUUCCAAACUGUGCUACUCUUAUCUCCCCUCCCCCACCCCGCCUUGCUCAGAUGCCUCUUCAUUCCUUCAAGCGGCUCUGGCUUCUCUAAGACUAAGGCUUUCUCAGUCUCUUGACCAAACAUCCUCUGGAGAAGCCUGGAAUCUACCAGCUGCCUGACAUGGUCAACUGGAAGCACCACUCCAGAAAAAUCACUUGGCUUCUUCUGAGUAACAGAAACUUCAUUUUGAAAUAAUACCUUAUUCUGCAGAUGAAAAAACUUAGGGCCAGAGAGACUGAAUGACUAGUUCAAGGUCACAUAAUUAACCAGUAACAAGAGCAAGAACAAGACACUCAAUUCCCUUCCUGGAUACCAUCAUUAAUUUGCAAACCACACAAAAUUUAGAAAUUGAUGCAUUAAUUUUAGGAAAGGGGUUUUGCACAAAAGUUCCUCUUUAUCUGGCCUGGGGUGGAGGGGUUUUCAGGUCUGAAUAUGGUGGGAAAUCAAAGCUUAUGCCUUCAAGCACCAAAUUAUUGUUUUCACUUAAAGUGCUGUGAUAAAAUACUUCUAAAAUAUAUUAAGAAAACACAAAAGAUUUUUAACCUCCAUAGUAAUUGUGUGUGCAUUUUACGUCAUACCAUUUUUUUUUUCUGUAGAAUGCUCCCCCACCACCAUUAUUUUGACUUUUCAAUUUUGUUCUAAGUAGCUAAUAUUACUGGAUACAAUUUUUGAAUAAAUGAGAUAGUCUAUUAUUAGUAUUUUCACCAAGAAGUCUAUGCUUACCAGUUUUUAGGUAAAACUGCUUCCAAGUGGGAAGUAUUAAUCAAAAGAAAGUCAGAUCUUACUAUUUCCUAGGUGUGCUCUAUUUGCAAUUUAACACUAAGGGUUCAUGCCUAUUACUUUUUCAAAAUAUUUGCAGACCAACGUGGUCCCUGCAAAUUUUCCGUAGUCUUUCUCACUUCUAUAUUUCCUUCUUAAACCAAUGGGCACCAAAGAAAGCUGUUUCAGGCUUUCUGAGGGCAAGAUUCUCUUUUACCCUGAAUGUUCAACUUUUUAUUGGCUUCUUUUUCUUGAGUCAGAUGGUCUAACAGAACUUGAUUUGAAUGACAGGUGGUUCUGGGAUUGCCCUAAACCUAAGAAAUGACGAGUGUAGGAUGGUCAGUUUUAUAUCUAAGGCAGAGGCGUGUCAGAAGAGUUUUUGCCUAAAUCUGUGGCGCCACUUUAUUGCUCUCUCCUAUGCCUGCAACUCUCAGCUCCAGAGAAUUCCAGCUUAUCAAGAAAAAUUAUAGAAUAAGACUUGAUGAUAUUAUCACAAAGUCAGAUUAACAACAAAUGGGGGUAGGAACAACAAAUCAGGGGAAACAAACAAUGGAUCUUCCCUGGGAAAGAUGUUUUCCCUGCAGAGGGAAAGAUGCUGAGAAUGUGCUCCCUGGGAUAAGUCCAUCAUUACUAUGCACUCGUAAUGGCUCAAAGGCAGUCCUGGCCAUUUAAAGCCACAAAAAUCAUGAGAAGAGGGUGUGAAGCAAAUUACAAAAUAAACAUAAGUAAAUAAAAGAAAUAAUAUCCAAAUGUAUUUUAAGUCUUAGUGGAUUAGUAAGAGUUUAUGUUGAAAGGAAGAAAUAAUAAUAUCUAAGGAACCUCAUAUUAUUCAUUGCUGCAUUGCCUCUGAGUUGCAAAAAAUUCAGGAAUUAAAAAAAAAAAUUCCUGAGUUAUAAAGUAGAAAAAUACUGUUGCAUCAAUGAUAACCCUUAAUUAUGAUUACGCCAUUUGUAUUACAUUAGCAUGUUCAGAAACUCAACUUCUCUCCCUAUUUCGACCUCCCUAUGGAAAAUUUGAAAAGAAAAUAUGUGGCAAUGAUGACAACAACUGCUUCACGAACGUCCUAGGUACAGAAACUUCCUACCUGCCUAGAGCGAGAUGGUGUUUUCCACUCAGGAGGAAAUAAGAGUCACAAACAGCCAAGGGAGUGGCAGCCAGGCUCAGAGACAAAGUGACAGAGGCCCAGGGCGGAGAAACCGGUGGCUAUUUGCCGAGGCUAGUGUGACUUUGUGAGCAACAGAACGCCAGCGAGGAGGAGAGAUGGGGAUGCAGACAAGAGAGGCAGGUCUGCUUUCUACCGUCAGAGGAUGAAACCUCAGGGGCUCUCGCGCUCCUCUCAAAACCGAAGGAAAAGAAUGGAAUCUAGCUUUCUCAUCCUUGGCCAAGUCUCUGAGGGUCUACAAUCUGCAGUAGAGGCAGGGUAAGAAAUCCAUCAGCUUCCUUCUUUGCCAGAAAGUUUAAAAAGUCAGUCAGCAGAAGGGCACUGCUGACCAGGCUCUUUGGUUCAACCUACUGCUCCAUGAUUAAAUGCCGUUUGGAAUAUUAAAAGGACCACCUGGGAGAUGAAUUAGUGGCUCUGUUUCUCGUGCCAGCUCUGUUCAUCUCACCUGACUACCUUUGAGCGCAGCGUGCUACUGGAGCUGACCUUCAUCUUGAAAUGGUGAAUGUUAGGAAUUUCUGGGUGAUAGAAUGCACCAACUGGGGCAUUUGGAUUUUUUCCUCCUGCCUGUGUGCAACUGAAUGCAAAAUGCAUAGGUAUGCCGGAGGGAAACCGCCGAGCUACUCCCCGGUAUUACAUUACUUCAAUCCCCGUGUGAUGUACAGAAAGUGAGCUGCAAUUAUACAAUUAGACUGAAUAUACACUUUUCCCAUUAGUGUUUAUUUUUGUCACCAGUCACGCUGCUUACUGGAAAAUGAAGGCCAUUAGUCUACGUGGCUCAUCUGUCCUUCCCCCUUUGAAGACAUUUUGCUGAUCUGCUUUGAUUUUUUUUAGCAGCCUGCUGAUUCUUCUUGUUAAGGAUGCUUCUCGGAGUAUGAGGGGCUCAGAGGUAUGCGGACUGCUGAAAUUGGACUUACAUGGCAUAUUUACCUUGAAGAGCUGAGGCUUGUGUAAAGAGGCCCCUGGCAGCUGGCUGUCAGUGGGGCAGGAUGAAGAAGGAAAAACCCAAAGGGGGGGAUGGGGUUUCAGAAAGAGGCUAACUCCUGGACUUAGGGUUUCAGGGGAGGAACAAGGACAGGGGGAGCAGUCAAGUGCAUUCCUAAGUGCAUGAGAUCUAAGCACCAGGACCCUGAUGGGCAGCCUGCACAAUUCAGAGGAAUAACCACAGAGUGUUUACUGAACUGCCAAACUGUCUGGCAGCAGCCCAUCUGACCGUCCAAUGAGCUUCCCAGCAGCGCAAAUCAGAAAGUCAAUAAGAUACCACCAGUUUCCAAAUUCUAUCUCAUUGCACAUAAACUGAAAGUCUCGACAAUCAAUACUGUGUUACUGAAAUACAAUCAGAAUUCAGUGUAGCAACACCUCAACAAGUGAGUGUGACCGAGGGUCCUCCGAGUCACAAAGUGAAUUCCAAAGUUUUCCCGUGGAAUGAGGAGAGCUGACUGUAAUAUGGGGAGCAAUGUCUUCAGGACAGCAUGGGCCGGAAGUACAAGAGACACAAAGCGAAGACAAGAGAGAGGACUGCCGUUGAUCUUUUUUAAAAAAGUGGUCCAGGGAGUUCCUGUCGUGGCACAGUGGAAAUGAAUUCGACUGGGAACCAUGAGAUUGUGGGUUCGGUCCCUGGCCUUGCUCAGUGGUUCCUAGUUGGAUUCCUUAACUGCUGUGCCACAGGGAAACUCCAAGAGUUGGAUUUCCAAAGCUACCGUUGGUUUAGGGUGGGGCCCUGAGCUACAUUAGCAAUCCUUCCAAGGAGAUCCCCGAGGCUAAUUCCAAUUCACUAACCACUGUUUUGAUAGUGGAUGCACAUUUUCAGGACCUAAGGGAACUAUCAAGGGUGGGCUUUGAAACGGUCUUGAAAAAAAAAAUUCAUCAUUUCCUCAGAAUCUGCUUAGCUGAACAAAUGAUGGCUGAUCCCAUGUGUAUAGACACCACCACUCUAGUCAUCUGCCUCCUUCCCCUUUAUUGCUCUCAUAUUAGUAGAUUAAAAGAUCAGAAGUGCCAGCUUUUAGCAAAUAGAUUCAUCUUUAGUCACAAACAGAUUUCUAUGAGAAUGAACACAAAGUUAUUAGAGGAGAGAGAUAAGUACAUUACACAUAUUUUAAGCUUGCUGUCUGAUUUCUGUUAGGCAUGCCCUGAUUUCUUUUAAGCACUGGGAACACGUUCAUUUUCCAGUUUAUAUGGGGGAUCUUGUGUAUCUAGAGUGCCAUUUAGAGGAUUACUAAUUUACUAAAUGGUACCCCAGUGCCCUGAAAGAGUUAAUUCUAUUCCAAGAGAUAAGCAAUUUAUUUUCUAUUUAGCAGCAGGAUAAGGACCACUGCUUACAAAUGACUAUGAGCCUGAGAAAGAGGGAGAGAGAGAGAAAGAGAGAGAGCAGGAAAGAGAGCACACUAUAUAAAUACAGGGUAUAGUAAUCAUAAUUACUAUAAUAUAAUGUCAAUCCGUGGCAUACAUACCCAUGUAUUUGUACAUACCCCUUCCUCAAUUUUGUCUAGAAAGACCAGAUCAGUGUUGUGAGAGCCCUGUCAUUUUUGGAUACAUCUUUGGAAAACCAGCUACCAAGAGAUAUGGCAAUUGUCUAGUAAAAACUUCAUUUAACCC
rnacentral:lncRNA from 1 species